GGAGGUGUGGCCGAGUGGUUUAAGGCUCUUGUCUUGAAAACAAGCGUGGUGUAACAGCCACCGUCGGUUCGAAUCCGACCGCCUCCG
rnacentral:tRNA from 1 species